UCUCUCUCUGUUUCUCUCUCUCUUUCUCUCUCUCUGUUUCUGUUUCUCUCUCUCUGUUUCUCUCUCUCUGUUUCUCUCUCUCUCUGUUUCUCUCCCUCUCUCUCUCUGUUUCUCUCUCUCUCUCUUAAAGUGAAUUACAGAAGCCCUUAACAAGGUUUCAGCCCUGUCCCUCUCCGUAUCAUAACAGAUGGGGUCGACCAUUCAUUCAUAGAUUACAAAGCUGAAUUGAGCCAGAAGCUGCUGUUUUUUUUCCUUCUUCCCAGUUGUCUGGUUUCUAUCAAUAGUGAAAGAGGCAGUUGAGGGGAAUCUCUUAAGGGACUUCAGUACUAAGUAACCUCCUCCAUUUUGAGUUUGUGUUUAUACCCAGGUCUUUAAUUGAUUUGAUUCUAAGAAGGGGCUGUGUUUAUACCCAGGUCUUUAAUUGAUUUGAUUCUAAGAAGGGGCUGUGUGUUUAUACCCAGGUCUUUAAUUGAUUUGAUUCUAAGGGGCUGUGUUUAUACCCAGGUCUUUUAUUGAUUUGAUUCUAAGGGGCUGUGUUUAUACCCAGGUCUGUUAUUUAUUUGAUUCUAAGAAGGGGCUGUGUUUAUACCCAGGUCUUUAAUUGAUUUGAUUCUAAGGGGCUGUGUGUUUAUACCCAGGUCUGUUAUUGAUUUGAUUCUAAGGGGCUGUGUUUAUACCCAGGUCUGUUAUUGAUUUGAUUCUAAGGGGCUGUGUUUAUACCCAGGUCUGUUAUUGAUUUGAUUCUAAGGGGCUGUGUUUAUACCCAGGUCUGUUAUUGAUUUGAUUCUAAGGGGCUGUGUGUUUAUACCCAGGUCUGUUAUUGAUUUGAUUCUAAGGGGCUGUGUUUAUACCCAGGUCUGUUAUUGAUUUGAUUCUAAGGGGCUGUGUGUUUAUACCCAGGUCUUUAAUUGAUUUGAUUCUAAGGGGCUGUGUGUUUAUACCCAGGUCUGUUAUUGAUUUGAUUCUAAGGGGCUGUGUUUAUACCCAGGUCUGUUAUUGAUUUGAUUCUAAGGGGCUGUGUGUUUAUACCCAGGUCUUUAAUUGAUUUGAUUCUAAGGGGCUGUGUGUUUAUACCCAGGUCUGUUAUUGAUUUGAUUCUAAGGGGCUGUGUGUUUAUACCCAGGUCUUUAAUUGAUUUGAUUCUAAGAAGGGGCUGUGUUUAUACCCAGGUCUUUAAUUGAUUUGAUUCUAAGAAGGGGCUGUGUUUAUACCCAGGUCUUUAAUUGAUUUGAUUCUAAGAAGGGGCUGUGUUUAUACCCAGGUCUUUAAUUGAUUUGAUUCUAAGAAGGGGCUGUGUUUAUACCCAGGUCUUUAAUUGAUUUGAUUCUAAGAAGGGGCUGUGUUUAUACCCAGGUCUGUUAUUGAUUUGAUUCUAAGGGGCUGUGUUUAUACCCAGGUCUGUUAUUGAUUUGAUUCUAAGGGGCUGUGUUUAUACCCAGGUCUCUUAUUGAUUUGAUUCUAAGAAGGGGCCGUGUGUUUAUACCCAGGUCUGUUAUUGAUUUGAUUCUAAGAAGGGGCUGUGUUUAUACCCAGGUCUGUUAUUGAUUUGAUUCUAAGAAGGGGCUGUGUUUAUACCCAGGUCUGUUAUUGAUUUGAUUCUAAGAAGGGGCCGUGUUUAUACCCAGGUCUGUUAUUGAUUUGAUUCUAAGAAGGGGCUGUGUUUAUACCCAGGUCUGUUAUUGAUUUGAUUCUAAGAAGGGGCUGUGUUUAUACCCAGGUCUGUUAUUGAUUUGAUUCUAAGAAGGGGCUGUGUUUAUACCCAGGUCUGUUAUUGAUUUGAUUCUAAGAAGGGGCUGUGUUUAUACCCAGGUCUUUAAGUGAUUUGAUUCUAAGAAGGGGCUGUGUUUAUACCCAGGUCUGUUAUUGAUUUGAUUCUAAGAAGGGGCUGUGUUUAUACCCAGGUCUGUUAUUGAUUUGAUUCUAAGAAGGGGCUGUGUUUAUACCCAGGUCUGUUAUUGAUUUGAUUCUAAGAAGGGGCUGUGUUUAUACCCAGGUCUGUUAUUGAUUUGAUUCUAAGAAGGGGCUGUGUUUAUACCCAGGUCUGGUAUUGAUUUGAUUCUAAGAAGGGGCUGUGUUUAUACCCAGGUCUUUAAUUGAUUUGAUUCUAAGAAGGGGCUGUGUUUAUACCCAGGUCUGUUAUUGAUUUGAUUCUAAGAAGGGGCUGUGUUUAUACCCAGGUCUGUUAUUGAUUUGAUUCUAAGAAGGGGCUGUGUUUAUACCCAGGUCUGUUAUUGAUUUGAUUCUAAGAAGGGGCUGUGUUUAUACCCAGGUCUGGUAUUGAUUUGAUUCUAAGAAGGGGCUGUGUUUAUACCCAGGUCUUUAAUUGAUUUGAUUCUAAGAAGGGGCUGUGUUUAUACCCAGGUCUGUUAUUGAUUUGAUUCUAAGAAGGGGCUGUGUGUUUAUACCCAGGUCUGUUAUUGAUUUGAUUCUAAGAAGGGGCUGUGUUUAUACCCAGGUCUGUUAUUGAUUUGAUUCUAAGAAGGGGCUGUGUGUUUAUACCCAGGUCUGUUAUUGAUUUGAUUCUAAGAAGGGGCUGUGUUUAUACCCAGGUCUGUUAUUGAUUUGAUUCUAAGAAGGGGCUGUGUUUAUACCCAGGUCUGUUAUUGAUUUGAUUCUAAGGGGCUGUGUUUAUACCCAGGUCUGUUAUUGAUUUGAUUCUAAGAAGGGGCUGUGUUUAUACCCAGGUCUGGUAUUGAUUUGAUUCUAAGAAGGGGCUGUGUUUAUACCCAGGUCUGUUAUUGAUUUGAUUCUAAGAAGGGGCUGUGUUUAUACCCAGGUCUGUUAUUGAUUUGAUUCUAAGAAGGGGCCGUGUUUAUACCCAGGUCUGUUAUUGAUUUGAUUCUAAGGGGCUGUGUGUUUAUACCCAGGUCUGUUAUUGAUUUGAUUCUAAGGGGCUGUGUGUUUAUACCCAGGUCUGUUAUUGAUUUGAUUCUAAGGGGCUGUGUUUAUACCCAGGUCUGUUAUUGAUUUGAUUCUAAGGGGCUGUGUUUAUACCCAGGUCUGUUAUUGAUUUGAUUCUAAGGGGCUGUGUGUUUAUACCCAGGUCUGUUAUUGAUUUGAUUCUAAGGGGCUGUGUUUAUACCCAGGUCUGUUAUUGAUUUGAUUCUAAGGGGCUGUGUGUUUAUACCCAGGUCUUUAAUUGAUUUGAUUCUAAGGGGCUGUGUGUUUAUACCCAGGUCUGUUAUUGAUUUGAUUCUAAGGGGCUGUGUUUAUACCCAGGUCUGUUAUUGAUUUGAUUCUAAGGGGCUGUGUGUUUAUACCCAGGUCUUUAAUUGAUUUGAUUCUAAGGGGCUGUGUGUUUAUACCCAGGUCUGUUAUUGAUUUGAUUCUAAGGGGCUGUGUGUUUAUACCCAGGUCUGUUAUUGAUUUGAUUCUAAGGGGCUGUGUUUAUACCCAGGUCUGUUAUUGAUUUGAUUCUAAGAAGGGGCUGUGUUUAUACCCAGGUCUGUUAUUGAUUUGAUUCUAAGGGGCUGUGUGUUUAUACCCAGGUCUGUUAUUGAUUUGAUUCUAAGGGGCUGUGUGUUUAUACCCAGGUCUGUUAUUGAUUUGAUUCUAAGGGGCUGUGUUUAUACCCAGGUCUGUUAUUGAUUUGAUUCUAAGGGGCUGUGUGUUUAUACCCAGGUCUUUAAUUGAUUUGAUUCUAAGAAGGGGCUGUGUUUAUACCCAGGUCUUUAAUUGAUUUGAUUCUAAGAAGGGGCUGUGUUUAUACCCAGGUCUUUAAUUGAUUUGAUUCUAAGAAGGGGCUGUGUUUAUACCCAGGUCUGUUAUUGAUUUGAUUCUAAGGGGCUGUGUUUAUACCCAGGUCUUUAAUUGAUUUGAUUCUAAGAAGGGGCUGUGUUUAUACCCAGGUCUUUAAUUGAUUUGAUUCUAAGAAGGGGCUGUGUUUAUACCCAGGUCUUUAAUUGAUUUGAUUCUAAGAAGGGGCUGUGUGUUUAUACCCAGGUCUUUAAUUGAUUUGAUUCUAAGGGGCUGUGUGUUUAUACCCAGGUCUGUUAUUGAUUUGAUUCUAAGAAGGGGCUGUGUUUAUACCCAGGUCUGUUAUUGAUUUGAUUCUAAGGGGCUGUGUUUAUACCCAGGUCUGUUAUUGAUUUGAUUCUAAGAAGGGGCUGUGUUUAUACCCAGGUCUGUUAUUGAUUUGAUUCUAAGAAGGGGCUGUGUUUAUACCCAGGUCUGUUAUUGAUUUGAUUCUAAGGGGCUGUGUUUAUACCCAGGUCUGUUAUUGAUUUGAUUCUAAGAAGGGGCUGUGUUUAUACCCAGGUCUGUUAUUGAUUUGAUUCUAAGAAGGGGCUGUGUUUAUACCCAGGUCUGUUAUUGAUUUGAUUCUAAGAAGGGGCUGUGUUUAUACCCAGGUCUGUUAUUGAUUUGAUUCUAAGAAGGGGCUGUGUUUAUACCCAGGUCUGUUAUUGAUUUGAUUCUAAGAAGGGGCCGUGUUUAUACCCAGGUCUUUAAUUGAUUUGAUUCUAAGGGGCUGUGUGUUUAUACCCAGGUCUGUUAUUGAUUUGAUUCUAAGAAGGGGCUGUGUUUAUACCCAGGUCUGUUAUUGAUUUGAUUCUAAGAAGGGGCUGUGUUUAUACCCAGGUCUGUUAUUGAUUUGAUUCUAAGAAGGGGCUGUGUUUAUACCCAGGUCUGUUAUUGAUUUGAUUCUAAGAAGGGGCUGUGUUUAUACCCAGGUCUGUUAUUGAUUUGAUUCUAAGGGGCUGUGUUUAUACCCAGGUCUGUUAUUGAUUUGAUUCUAAGAAGGGGCUGUGUUUAUACCCAGGUCUGUUAUUGAUUUGAUUCUAAGAAGGGGCUGUGUUUAUACCCAGGUCUGUUAUUGAUUUGAUUCUAAGAAGGGGCUGUGUUUAUACCCAGGUCUGUUAUUGAUUUGAUUCUAAGAGGGGGCUGUGUUUAUACCCAGGUCUUUAAUUGAUUUGAUUCUAAGAAGGGGCUGUGUUUAUACCCAGGUCUGUUAUUGAUUUGAUUCUAAGAAGGGGCUGUGUUUAUACCCAGGUCUGUUAUUGAUUUGAUUCUAAGAAGGGGCUGUGUUUAUACCCAGGUCUGUUAUUGAUUUGAUUCUAAGAAGGGGCUGUGUUUAUACCCAGGUCUGGUAUUGAUUUGAUUCUAAGAAGGGGCUGUGUUUAUACCCAGGUCUGUUAUUGAUUUGAUUCUAAGAAGGGGCUGUGUUUAUACCCAGGUCUGUUAUUGAUUUGAUUCUAAGAAGGGGCUGUGUUUAUACCCAGGUCUGUUAUUGAUUUGAUUCUAAGAAGGGGCUGUGUUUAUACCCAGGUCUGUUAUUGAUUUGAUUCUAAGAAGGGGCUGUGUUUAUACCCAGGUCUGGUAUUGAUUUGAUUCUAAGAAGGGGCUGUGUUUAUACCCAGGUCUUUAAUUGAUUUGAUUCUAAGAAGGGGCUGUGUUUAUACCCAGGUCUGUUAUUGAUUUGAUUCUAAGAAGGGGCUGUGUUUAUACCCAGGUCUGUUAUUGAUUUGAUUCUAAGAAGGGGCUGUGUUUAUACCCAGGUCUGUUAUUGAUUUGAUUCUAAGAAGGGGCUGUGUUUAUACCCAGGUCUGUUAUUGAUUUGAUUCUAAGAAGGGGCUGUGUUUAUACCCAGGUCUGUUAUUGAUUUGAUUCUAAGAAGGGGCUGUGUUUAUACCCAGGUCUGUUAUUGAUUUGAUUCUAAGAAGGGGCUGUGUUUAUACCCAGGUCUUUAAUUGAUUUGAUUCUAAGAAGGGGCUGUGUUUAUACCCAGGUCUGUUAUUGAUUUGAUUCUAAGAAGGGGCUGUGUUUAUACCCAGGUCUGUUAUUGAUUUGAUUCUAAGAAGGGGCUGUGUUUAUACCCAGGUCUGUUAUUGAUUUGAUUCUAAGAAGGGGCUGUGUUUAUACCCAGGUCUGUUAUUGAUUUGAUUCUAAGAAGGGGCUGUGUUUAUACCCAGGUCUGUUAUUGAUUUGAUUCUAAGAAGGGGCUGUGUUUAUACCCAGGUCUGUUAUUGAUUUGAUUCUAAGAAGGGGCUGUGUUUAUACCCAGGUCUGUUAUUGAUUUGAUUCUAAGAAGGGGCUGUGUUUAUACCCAGGUCUGUUAUUGAUUUGAUUCUAAGAAGGGGCUGUGUUUAUACCCAGGUCUGGUAUUGAUUUGAUUCUAAGAAGGGGCUGUGUUUAUACCCAGGUCUUUAAUUGAUUUGAUUCUAAGAAGGGGCUGUGUUUAUACCCAGGUCUGUUAUUGAUUUGAUUCUAAGAAGGGGCUGUGUGUUUAUACCCAGGUCUGUUAUUGAUUUGAUUCUAAGAAGGGGCUGUGUUUAUACCCAGGUCUGUUAUUGAUUUGAUUCUAAGAAGGGGCUGUGUUUAUACCCAGGUCUGUUAUUGAUUUGAUUCUAAGAAGGGGCUGUGUGUUUAUACCCAGGUCUGUUAUUGAUUUGAUUCUAAGAAGGGGCUGUGUUUAUACCCAGGUCUGUUAUUGAUUUGAUUCUAAGGGGCUGUGUUUAUACCCAGGUCUGUUAUUGAUUUGAUUCUAAGAAGGGGCUGUGUUUAUACCCAGGUCUGGUAUUGAUUUGAUUCUAAGAAGGGGCUGUGUUUAUACCCAGGUCUGUUAUUGAUUUGAUUCUAAGAAGGGGCUGUGUUUAUACCCAGGUCUGUUAUUGAUUUGAUUCUAAGAAGGGGCCGUGUUUAUACCCAGGUCUUUAAGUGAUUUGAUUCUAAGAAGGGGCUGUGUUUAUACCCAGGUCUGUUAUUGAUUUGAUUCUAAGAAGGGGCUGUGUUUAUACCCAGGUCUGUUAUUGAUUUGAUUCUAAGAAGGGGCUGUGUUUAUACCCAGGUCUGUUAUUGAUUUGAUUCUAAGAAGGGGCUGUGUUUAUACCCAGGUCUGUUAUUGAUUUGAUUCUAAGAAGGGGCUGAAGUCUGUUUAACUCUGGACAGAAUAUCACAUCAAUGGAUCCCUCAUUUUACAUGCUGUCCUGGUUUUACCGUCUGUUUUCUCCAGAUUUCCUUUUAAAUCUAUUUGUCUUCAUCCUUUUACAGCGUGUUGUUAUUCUGCCUCCUUUUUGUAGGUCUUCUUCUUCUUGUGUUUUAUUCAAGCCAACUGUUUGAGGUUUCUCUCCCCCCCAUAAAGACAUUAAACAUUUACCAGAUGUAGAUGGAAAACAUGA